rnacentral:rRNA from 1 species
ACACGUAGUUUGACUCCGUGGCUCGAGGACGACGCUGGCGGCGCGCCUAACACAUGCAAGUCGAACGAGCGAGAGAGAGCUUGCUUUCUCGAGCGAGUGGCGAACGGGUGAGUAACGCGUGAGGAACCUGCCUCAAAGAGGGGGACAACAGUUGGAAACGACUGCUAAUACCGCAUAAGCCCACGGGUCGGCAUCGACCAGAGGGAAAAGGAGCAAUCCGCUUUGAGAUGGCCUCGCGUCCGAUUAGCUAGUUGGUGAGGUAAUGGCCCACCAAGGCGACGAUCGGUAGCCGGACUGAGAGGUUGAACGGCCACAUUGGGACUGAGACACGGCCCAGACUCCUACGGGAGGCAGCAGUGGGGAAUAUUGCACAAUGGGGGAAACCCUGAUGCAGCGACGCCGCGUGGAGGAAGAAGGUCUUCGGAUUGUAAACUCCUGUUGUUGAGGAAGAUAAUGACGGUACUCAACAAGGAAGUGACGGCUAACUACGUG